rnacentral:lncRNA from 1 species
CUUUUUCAACGGCUUCACGAAGGUUUGCCACUUUGGAUAGAUGUCAUCCGCUAGAUAAUAGCCAUAGUUGUAUGUACGACCAUUUGCUACAAACUGCAUCGGUGGCAACUCACCAUUUGCAAUCUUAUUCAUCAGUGGUGACCGGUUGACAACAUUGAUGUCAUUCAAAGAUCCAGGCAUUCCAAAGAAUGCAUGCCAAAUCCAAGUCUCCUGAUCGGCCACCGCUUCAAGGAUUAUAGUGGAACCCUUUUUUUGGCCGUGGAAUUGCCGAUGCCAUGCCUUUGGACAAUUCUUCCAACUCCAAUGCAUGCAAUCUAUUGAGCCAAGC